UGCCCCAUGGCUGAGUUGGUUACAGCGUCCGACUGUUAUAUGACAUCGGAAGGUCGAGAGUUCGAGCCUCUCUGGGGCAG